rnacentral:RNase_P_RNA from 1 species
GGAGUUGGCCGGACAGUCGCCGCAUCGAUCCCGGUGCGGAGGAAAGUCCGGGCUCCGCAGGGCAGGGUGCCAGGUAACGCCUGGGGGGCGCGAGCCUACGGAAAGUGCCACAGAAAACAUACCGCCUACGUCCCGCCGGGACCGGCAAGGGUGAAAAGGUGCGGUAAGAGCGCACCGCGUUGCUGGCAACAGCAACGGCACGGCAAACCCCACCCGGAGCAAGACCAAAUAGGGGAGCCUACGUGCGGCCCGCACGGCUCCCGGGUAGGUCGCUACAGGCGCGCGGCGACGCGCGUCGCAGAUGAAUGACUGUCCCCGACAGAACCCGGCUUACAGGCCAACUCCCGUU